GGCUACUCAAUUUUCAAUUUUCAACCAACUCAAAUAUUUUUCGGAAUAUAUGCUUAACAAUAGAAAUCUUCGCUUGUAAAGAUAAGCAAAUUAGAUACAAAAUUCUUAUAAGACCAUAGAGAAACACAUAAUAUAUCAUUUCAAAGUUUGAAACAUACUUUUAUGCCCCGCUUCAACGUACAAGAGCUGACUGCUGCGAAAGUGAUAAUGUAAGUGUGGACUUUUCUGAAUUAGGCAUAUCGCCCACAGGUGACGCUUUAUUUGAAAUUAAUUUUGCGUUAUCAAUAACCAUACAUCACUUGUAUAGUUAGUGGCGUUAUGUAUUCUUAAUUCAUGCUAUGUGAAGUUGAGUUAUCAAAUGAAAAAAUUAUUGGACGAUAAAUUAUUUACAAUAUUUAUUUGUGCUUCAAUUUAACCUUUAACCGCCAGAGGGCGUUAAAUGUGAUGACUAUUUGUAAGGUUUCCAACAUAUAAUAAUUUCUGUAAACGUAAUGAUAUAUAUAAUAUAAUAUAUAUAGCCCCAUUUCUUAAUAUACCACAUUAAUUCCAAUAUUGUGCUUAUUGAAUUUAAAUAAAAAAUAAUAAUAUUUAAAGAAAUAGCCGAAUCAAUUUUAUAAGGCAGCCACCUGGCGAGCUGAGGCACACUUAUGCUUAGCGAUUUUUGCUUCCAUCGAUAACAACUAUCGAUACAGCUAAUCCUUGCAGACCUAACUCAUAAAAAAAUAAAUGUGAAAAAAUUGCGACAGAAGAAAGGAAUAUUACGCGGAUUUCUUUUGCUAUGUUAGCAUAAGUUAUAGUAUCCGUAACACAUUUUACUCUUUCUCUGCAGAAUACUUAUCACAAACCAAAAUCACACGGUCACCGGAUGCCAGCACAGCAUUCAAGAUAAGAGCUUCUUAUCUAGGGGCCCUGAAAAUGCAAUGUAACAAGCAAAACUAUAGUUUAUAUAAACUCUAUUAUCUCGAGCAUUAUAGCAGCCAGAGACAUACCAUACCAGCCGAGCUAUCCGGAGCCGUCUACAAUUUUCUUCAUUACAUAUAUUAAUCGAAUUUACUUACGCAUAAUACGAAUACUGAACGAAUACUGUACGCAUAGUAAAUUUCAGUACUACGUACUUCGAGCUACUAGAGGGAUCAAUGCGACAUUAGCAGUUUGUCCUGAAAUUCCGUUGUAGAUAGCUAUUGUAUAUAUGAAUAUAUCAACGUCAAAUACUUCCGACUGGAACUGUUCUCUUUGCUUAAGGUUGAUCUUAACUUUCUCAAUGUAUUCUCUUAUAUAAGCUAAUACAUAGUUCAGCGCCUCUUUUUGCCUGUUACGCACAUUUAAGCAAAAACACCAUGAAUUAAAAUCUCUACUGGGAAGGAAAGAGCUUCAUCACAUUAUCCAUAAAAACAAUAAUGUGCUUGAUAUAGAAAAUAUUCCUUCGGCACUCGAUGCGUUCGUUUAUCUACAAAAUAAAAUAAUUAAACACAAUGUAAAUAAAUGAAAAAUCAUUUAUAAACCUA